GGGUCAGGGCCCAUGAAUGCCCCGGCGGGCGGUACGCCCUGCGGGGCGUUGAGCAGGUUGCCGCCGGGGGCUGCGAGGUGGCGACCAGUGGCCGCGAGGGUGGUGGGUACAGGCAGGAUGCUGCGCCACACGCCGCCCUGUACCAUGGACUCCAGCAUGCCUUCCAAGGCGUCUGGUGGCGCGUAUUGGAACCUGCGCAAAAAUGGGUUCGGGUUUUCAAAGUCGGAUGAAUGGGGGGAUAGAUGGGUGGUGCUUCACGGGGUUAUAGCGGGAGACAUGUGCAGCAGCAGCAACAUGCGCAGCAGCAGCAAAAUUAUUAUCAUUAUCAUUAUCAGCAGUAGCAGCAGCAGCAGCAGCAACAGCAGAAGAAGAAGAGAGGAAAGAGGGGAAGAAAAGCACAAGAGCAUGGAAGGGGACCGGAGGACUGUAGGUAGGCUUUUCCACCCACGCCCCUCACCGAAGAAGACCCCC
rnacentral:lncRNA from 1 species